rnacentral:lncRNA from 1 species
ACGUCGUUGUUAUGCCUUGAAAUUACCAUAUGUCAUCGAUAUGCCCCUUAUGCCAAUGAUAUGCUCAAAUUACCUUUCCUCGAUUGUAUGAACAAAACGUGCUUCGAACGAAAUGACAUCGUAAUUCUGCAUUCAUGAUAUCCAAAAUGCUCCUUAUGUCUUUGUUAUGUUUUGAAAUUACCAUAUGUCAUCGAUAUGCUCCUUAUGCCA